GGGGGGGGGAAAACCUCUUCACCGGAUAGGACCGUACUAAGUAAGCGGGCCGGGGAGUGAGGAUCGAAAGAGCGAGAGGAGAAGAAGAUGCUUUCCUUGCUAAGGCUCUUCCUUUCGGUGUCACCCCCUGUGUAAUUUUUCUUUUUUUUUUGGCCCGAUAUCUUGGAGCGGGGAAAAGCGAAGAAAAAGUUUAGGACACGCGACCGGUGGGAAAAGCGGAAAGGCGCCCCCCCCCCGUCUUCCUGUCCCGUGGAUCAGUCCGACUGAAGAGGGGAGUCACAAUACGCAGGCAAAGUCACACCGGGCUUUUAAUACCGUUUGUUUUUCAGGUUGCGGGUUUCAAAACCCGCAACCGACUUUUUUCUUUUUCUUUUUAACGCGGGAAUCCAGACUCCGGGAUGAAGGAAGGAGGGCUAGACCGUUCCUGAGCAUGCAAAGAGCUUCUUUCAAAGGCAACUGAAUAGCUACGCGUCGGGUAAUUAGUUUGGGGAAAUAAUCUUCUCCCUAUAGGAAAGAAUUGCCUCGCUGUCUUCCCAAUGCUUGGAGUUUCCUGGCUCAGCAUUUGAGAGAUGUAAUUUCUCUUAGCCCUUGGCAGCUCAGUCCCUGGACUGCCCUGUCUGUCCCCGAAGUGCCUUUUCUGGUACAAAGUAACACUGCUGCCUAUGGAGUUAAGCCUGAUGGCCCUUGAGACUUACUAUUUUCAACCUUGUUGGGUGGUGGCCCCCAGAUUUUUAGAAUAGAACAGAACAGAAUAUAUAUUUUUUUAUUGGCCAAGUGUAAUUGGACACACAAGGAAUUUGUCUUGCUGCAUAGGCUCUCAGUGUACAUAAAGGAAAAGAUACGUUCCUCCAGAAUUCUAAUGUACAACAAUGAUAGUCAUAGGGAACAAAUAAGCAAUCAGGAAACAAUAUCAAUAUAAAUCGUAAGGAUACAAGCAACAAAGUUACAGUCAUACAGUCAUAACUGGAAAUAUAUCAGAGUCUUUCCAUAUCCUAUGUAGAGAUCCUUAGGGUUGAAUCUGAGAUAAUUUAAGUGCCAUAAACUGUGUAGACUGUUCCUGGAAGGUGUUUUAAAAUUUUUUUCCCCCUUUCCAUUUUAAACAAUUCUAAAGCUUAGAACUAUUCGCAGCAGAGGGCAGUGCUCAUCAAGCCUUGGCUAAGCCUUGGGAAACCACUGGGAAAUCCUAGGGCUAGAGGCAAAACUGGGGAAAUGAAAAUUCUGUGAAAGGCAGAGACAAAGCAACUUGGAAUAUUGUAAAAAGAAAAAAAAAAAAAGAAAAAAACCAAGACGGAUGAGUCCAUGUAGUUACUAAGAGAAUAUCUCAGAAUGUCAGAUCUUAGCUGGGUUUGGAAGCAAAACAUGGUUGGGCCUUUGUAACAUUUUGAUUAGAGUUCUCUGAGGAAUGUCAAGGUUGCAGUCGAGUCAACUUCAGUUUGAGAAUAUCUUUAAUUUUUAAAUAUACCAGUAUUUAACCCAUUCUCAGUGCAGUCACCUUGCUUUUGCAAUUCUUCAAACAUACAGCUCUCACUUCCUGUUAAUAAAGCAGGCAGAAACAUACUCUGAUAUACAGUCUUAAUUCCCACCCUACACACAACAAUUCCUGCAGCUUUUUAUCUAUUACUAGUGAUAAAAUCCCAGUUCCCAGUUUUUGUCAAACAGCAGAUAUACUUGCAUAGGCAGGUUCUGCAAACCUUUAUUAACUCUGUUACAUGAAUAUUUGUAAAGAUAUAUCAUGUAGAAUCUAUCCAAGAAACCCAAAUAAGUGGCCAAAACUCACUCGAGCACAAAAGGAACAAGAACCAACCCUACUGAAGUUAGCUCUCAAAGCAUCUUUCUGAAGUAAAUGCGGUCAUGGUGUCUGUCUGCCUUGUACAGACUGCUUGCUACUUCAGUUUUAAACUAGCAGUGGUUGCUCCUUGAAUCUGCAGAGUGCAAAUCACAGAUCACCGAAAUCUUCUCGAUGACAGCUACGUUCACCUGCUUGAAGCAGCCUCGUAUUUUGCUGCACAGAAGGCAGCAAAGCUUGGUGUUACCCUGUCCUUGAUGUUGACAAAAGCACAUUAAAGAUUUUACUUUUACACAUGUUUAUUUUAAAGGGGAAUGUUUGAGGAAUGGAAUGGAAUGCAACUGGUGCAUAAGAUGAAUCUAUGCAAAUGCUCAUGGACAACUUUUUUAUUUUGUCAGUGUUCCAGCCCAGUGCAUAACGAAUUUUCCAUCAGUUUCAGAACUGUGAUACACAAAAUGACGGCAGGCAAGACUGUGUACAGUAACCCAAAGGACGUUGACCUCUGUUCCCACUGCCGACCAACUGUGUAUUGGAGAGAAUAGGCAAAUAGGUUAGAGAUAAAUGAGGAAAGUCCUAAAGGUUUGCAAGAUGGGAAAAAAGUAAAAAGGAAAAGCUUCUGCCAGCAUUUAAAUUUUUGAAAUUAUAUAGGAAAAAUGCCUAAUUUCCUACAGUUAAAGCUUUGAGAGGAUAUAGCAAAAAGACAAAGCAGUUCUGGCACAAGAAAGUCAUAACUCAUAGCUCCAUUGCAGACCCUUAUGCACAGAAAUGGGUUUGUUCUUCUCUCAAUCCCACUCAGUAUAUUUCUCCUUUCUCCUUGUAAA